UUCGAUGAUGGCAUGUAAUCUUUGAGACCUGAUUUAUCAUUGAUGAAAAUUAUAAGCAGUCUCACUGAGGAC